rnacentral:rRNA from 1 species
CUAUCAUUAACUGAAUCCAUAGGUUAAUGAGGCGAACCGGGGGAACUGAAACAUCUAAGUACCCCGAGGAAAAGAAAUCAACCGAGAUUCCCCCAGUAGCGGCGAGCGAACGGGGAGGAGCCCAGAGCCUGAAUCAGUGUGUGUGUUAGUGGAAGCGUCUGGAAAGGCGCGCGAUACAGGGUGACAGCCCCGUACACAAAAAUGCACAUACUGUGAGCUCGAUGAGUAGGGCGGGACACGUGGUAUCCUGUCUGAAUAUGGGGGGACCAUCCUCCAAGGCUAAAUACUCCUGACUGACCGAUAGUGAACCAGUACCGUGAGGGAAAGGCGAAAAGAACCCCGGCGAGGGGAGUGAAAAAGAACCUGAAACCGUGUACGUACAAGCAGUGGGAGCCUCUUAAUGGGGUGACUGCGUACCUUUUGUAUAAUGGGUCAGCGACUUAUAUUCUGUAGCAAGGUUAACCGAAUAGGGGAGCCGAAGGGAAACCGAGUCUUAACUGGGCGUUAAGUUGCAGGGUAUAGACCCGAAACCCGGUGAUCUAGCCAUGGGCAGGUUGAAGGUUGGGUAACACUAACUGGAGGACCGAACCGACUAAUGUUGAAAAAUUAGCGGAUGACUUGUGGCUGGGGGUGAAAGGCCAAUCAAACCGGGAGAUAGCUGGUUCUCCCCGAAAGCUAUUUAGGUAGCGCCUCGUGAAUUCAUCUCCGGGGGUAGAGCACUGUUUCGGCAAGGGGGUCAUCCCGACUUACCAACCCGAUGCAAACUGCGAAUACCGGAGAAUGUUAUCACGGGAGACACACGGCGGGUGCUAACGUCCGUCGUGAAGAGGGAAACAACCCAGACCGCCAGCUAAGGUCCCAAAGUCAUGGUUAAGUGGGAAACGAUGUGGGAAGGCCCAGACAGCCAGGAUGUUGGCUUAGAAGCAGCCAUCAUUUAAAGAAAGCGUAAUAGCUCACUGGUCGAGUCGGCCUGCGCGGAAGAUGUAACGGGGCUAAACCAUGCACCGAAGCUGCGGCAGCGACACUAUGUGUUGUUGGGUAGGGGAGCGUUCUGUAAGCCUGUGAAGGUGUACUGUGAGGUAUGCUGGAGGUAUCAGAAGUGCGAAUGCUGACAUAAGUAACGAUAAAGCGGGUGAAAAGCCCGCUCGCCGGAAGACCAAGGGUUCCUGUCCAACGUUAAUCGGGGCAGGGUGAGUCGACCCCUAAGGCGAGGCCGAAAGGCGUAGUCGAUGGGAAACAGGUUAAUAUUCCUGUACUUGGUGUUACUGCGAAGGGGGGACGGAGAAGGCUAUGUUGGCCGGGCGACGGUUGUCCCGGUUUAAGCGUGUAGGCUGGUUUUCCAGGCAAAUCCGGAAAAUCAAGGCUGAGGCGUGAUGACGAGGCACUACGGUGCUGAAGCGACAAAUGCCCUGCUUCCAGGAAAAGCCUCUAAGCAUCAGGUAACAUCAAAUCGUACCCCAAACCGACACAGGUGGUCAGGUAGAGAAUACCAAGGCGCUUGAGAGAACUCGGGUGAAGGAACUAGGCAAAAUGGUGCCGUAACUUCGGGAGAAGGCACGCUGAUAUGUAGGUGAAGCGACUUGCUCGUGGAGCUGAAAUCAGUCGAAGAUACCAGCUGGCUGCAACUGUUUAUUAAAAACACAGCACUGUGCAAACACGAAAGUGGACGUAUACGGUGUGACGCCUGCCCGGUGCCGGAAGGUUAAUUGAUGGGGUUAGCGGUAACGCGAAGCUCUUGAUCGAAGCCCCGGUAAACGGCGGCCGUAACUAUAACGGUCCUAAGGUAGCGAAAUUCCUUGUCGGGUAAGUUCCGACCUGCACGAAUGGCGUAAUGAUGGCCAGGCUGUCUCCACCCGAGACUCAGUGAAAUUGAACUCGCUGUGAAGAUGCAGUGUACCCGCGGCAAGACGGAAAGACCCCGUGAACCUUUAC